rnacentral:ncRNA from 1 species
AGAGUAGUAAAGGCGCGUAAAGUGUUGCGAAAUGGGAUGUCGUUCGCAAACGAAAGGUUAACUCCUGCGGUGCCUUUGCGCGUCCGCUA